rnacentral:rRNA from 1 species
AUUCCAGCUCCAAUAGCGUAUAUUAAAGUUGUUGCGGUUAAAAAGCUCGUAGUUGGAGUUCUGCCAGGUGACGCUCGUCCGCCCAAGUGGUGUGUACAGGGCGUGCAUCUGGCCCUUUCAAGGGGAACGUGUCUGCUCUUUAUUGAGUGGUGCGAGAUCCUUGACUUUUACUUUGAGGAAAUCAGAGUGUUCCAAGCAGGCUCUCGUCGUGUAUAGCUCAGCAUGGAAUAAUAGCAUUGGACUUCGUUUCUAAGCUGUUGGUUGCAAGAAGCGAGGUAAUGAUGAAGAGGGAUAGUUGGGGGCAUUCGUAUUUAACUGUCAGAGGUGAAAUUCUUGGAUUUAUGAAAGAUGAACUUAUGCGAAAGCAUUUACCAAGGAUGUUUUCAUCG